UACGAAGGGGGCUAGCGUUGCUCGGAAUCACUGGGCGUAAAGGGUGCGUAGGCGGGUCUUUAAGUCAGGGUGAAAUCCUGGAGCUCAACUCCAGAACUGCCUUUGAUACUGAGGAUCUUGAGUUCGGGAGAGGUGAGUGGAACUGCGAGUGUAGAGGUGAAAUUCGUAGAUAUUCGCAAGAACACCAGUGGCGAAGGCGGCUCACUGGCCCGGUACUGACGCUGAGGUGCGAAAGCCGUGGGGAGCAA
rnacentral:rRNA from 1 species